CAGUCAGGGCGAGCGAUCGUGGUGUGCUUGUGAAUGGGAGCGAGCGUGGUUUGGAGGAUGCUUGAACCGCGUCUGUAGUUUGUGUGUUACCGUGUGUAAGGUUUCGGGAGGUGUAUGUACGUGGCCCUGCUCUGCAACAAUUGCUUUUACACGUUGAUCUUAUUUGAUCGGGCCGAGAUGUCGCCGCCUUCCCGGCCUGAAAUGAAAAGACCCGCUUGUGUGAAGCCCUUGGCGCUGUACGGAGAAGCCGGUUUAAUGAGCGUGCGGCAGUAUGGUCGGAAAUGAUGAAUUGAUCAGAUAGAUGAGGCUGGAGGUUGGAAAGUUCCUCUUCCUAGCCAAUGUGUAUCGAAGCGAUUCUGAUCCGG